rnacentral:rRNA from 1 species
UAGUACCGCAAGGGAAUGAUGAAAUAAAAAUGAAACAACUUUAAAGCACUAAAAAGCAGAGAUUUACCCUCGUACCUUUUGCAUCAUGGUCUAGCCAGUCCAAUCAAGCAAAAAGCAACUUAAGUUUGACCCCCCGAAACUAAGCGAGCUACUUCAAAACAGCCUUAUGGGCCAACCCGUCUCUGUUGCAAAAGAGUGGGAAGAUUUUCAAGUAGAGGUGACAAACCUACCGAGCUUAGAGAUAGCUGGUUAUUCAGGAAAAGGAUCUAAGUCCUACCUUAAGUCUCUAAAAACCUUAAAAUACACCAAAAGACUUAAGAGCUAUUCAAAUAAGGUACAGCCUAUUUGAAGCAGGAAACAACCUCAACAACAGGGUAAUGAAUUCCUCAAUGUGACUAAGUGGGCCUAAAAGCAGCCAUCUUUUAAAAAGCGUUAAAGCUUAAUCAUUGACCUAUAUUAAUUCCAUUAAUUAACCAAAACCCCUAACUAAUACUGAAUGACUCUAUAAACAUAUAGAAUACUAUAUGCUAGAACUAGUAAUAAGAAGAAGACCUUCUCCAAAAUAUAAGUGUGAGCCGAAAUGAACAAUUCACCGGCAUUUAACGCAAUUGAACUAAUAGUAGUAACAAAAACAGGAAAACCCUACUACAUGCUGCGUCAACCUUACACUAGAAUAUUCCAGGAAAGAUUAAAAGAAAAGGAAGGAACUCGGCAAACUUAAUAACCCCGCCUGUUUACCAAAAACAUCGCCUCUUGAAAAAAUAUAAGAGGUCCAGCCUGCCCAGUGACAAAGUUAAACGGCCGCGGUACCCUAACCGUGCGAAGGUAGCACAAUCACUUGUUCUUUAAAUGAGGACUAGUAUGAAUGGCAUCACGAGGGUUNNNNNNNNNNNNNNNNNNNNNNNNNNAAACUGACCUCCCCGUGAAGAGGCGGGGAUAAAAUUAUAAGACGAGAAGACCCCAUGGAGCUUUAAACUCAGUAUCAUCUAUCUAACCACACACCACCAAAAUUUGAUAGUUCUGAUCACUAGUUUUCGGUUGGGGUGACCGCGGAGCAAAACAAAACCUCCACGAUGAACGGACCAAUGUUCCUAAUCAUAGAGCCACAGCUCAAAGAAUCAAAAAAUUGACAUAAAUUGAUCCAAUUAAUUUUGAUCAACGAACCAAGUUACCCUGGGGAUAACAGCGCAAUCCACUUCAAGAGCUCCUAUCGACAANNNNNNNNNNNNNNNNNNNNNNGGAUCAGGGUAUCCCAGUGGUGCAGCCGCUACUAAAGGUUCGUUUGUUCAACGAUUAAAACCCUACGUGAUCUGAGUUCAGACCGGAGUAAUCCAGGUCGGUUUCUAUCUAUAAAGAGUUCCUCCUAGUACGAAAGGACCGGAGCAACAUGGCCAAUAUUAUAAACAUGCCAUACCUGUACAUUAAUGAUCCCAACUCAAUUAAUACCAGCCUACUACUAACCCCAAAAUAAGAGAU